AACUCAUAUGUGUUUACAUUAGUCCACAAACACAUGUCAGUGGUAACAUGGCCGUAAAUCAGGGGUGGCAGGAGAGAGAAGUUUCCAAUGCACAUGCCUGAAGAAAAGUGGGAUUCUGACUUUUAUUGGCGAAAAAUCAAGUUCAACUUUAUCAUCAUCCCCAAUUUUUAAAUUUGGUUUACACUCAGAUCACAAAAAUGCACUCAUGGCAAAACCAACAACAAUGUACAUAGAAGAAACAUGACGGUUUAAGAUUAAAGGACAUGUUCACAUUUUUUAAAGUCUAUUGGACAACAAUACUCACAUGUCCAGAUGUAUAUUGAAACAGCAUUUUUGCUUGAUGUAAUAGUUCUUCCUUUCUAUACUGGCCCUGAAGAGAUCCCUGCUUUAUACAACUCCAAUGUAAGUUAUUGGGAACUAAAUCCACAGAUCUCAUUCUGUGCAAAAAUGCAUUAUGAAAUUCAGCCAAAGUUUAUAUGAGGCUGCAGGAUUCAGAGUUCAGAGCCAAAUGAAGUCUGUAUCUUCCAAAGUUACAGUCUUUGUAGUACAAAAUUUCCCUCUCUGUGUUACUUACUUCACCUUCUAAUGUGAAUCAGCAAGCAUACUCUCUCUGGGAAAACAUAAAGAGGGAAUGUCACACUAAAAAGACUGUAAUUUUGGAAGAUACUCAAAUUGAAAUUAUGUCAGGGAGGGAUCUCUUCAGGGCCAGUAUGGGCAGGAGGACUACUUGCAGCGACCAAAACCAAUGGACAUAUGGACAUGUGGCUAUUGUUUUAUGACAGACUUGAAAGAUGAACCUAUCAUUUAAAUAUAGAGUCAAAUAAAGUGCAUUUCAAGGUUAAGUAAAGUGCCGGUGUGCGAUUAAAUAGGAAUAAAAUUAAUUUAAUUCAACUACAAAUAUUCCAGGUCUAGCAAAUCCAGUUGUAGUAACCCAAAAAAUCAAACAUUGCAUUAUCAGAUUUAAUGACCUCCUGCAGUUUGUAUCGUAACUUUUUUAUAAUCUGGGGUAAUCCUGCAGAUGUCACUGUGAGCAUAUGUUCCAUUUGCAAACGGGGAACAAAUCCAACACCGUCAUUAACGGCUUAGAAGGUGUGAAAACUGUACAGUAGAUUUCGUCAGUGGAAUGACAGCCUGUUAAAACUCUGGAUGACUGCUCAAGCAACCAGGAUUUUUUGGCCCCGGCUCACCCCACUGGAGUCCAGACUUAGUCAGACAUGACCACGCAGAGACUGAACCAACAACUCUGGAAUCCUUCUCGGAGGAAGAGAAAAGGGGGGUUGGGUGAAAUGAGUUUCAACUUCAGGUACUUUUUUUGAGAAUAAGGUGUCUAGACUGGACAUUCUUUUCCACCAACAUUUCUCCAAACAGUUCCUUGACUGUGUCUGCUGCUCUGUUGGUCUGGGCGACCUCCCCCAUGCAGCGCCUAUACUCUCACUCUGUGGCUUAAUUACCUCCAUGCUCCCAGGAUGGUCAAUGUAGAGCAGGUGUGGGUUUUACACAGUCAUCCUCCCAGGGUGGCAAUGAGAGGAUUGGACGGUGAUCCAGAGUUCUGCAUUAAUAAGAGAUGGAAACUAACCGCAGCAUUAAGAGAUGGAAACCAUUAACUGCCUUCUCAUAUGUGGGAGAAGUGUUUCAAAGUCAAACAAGAGGAGAGAAACAAGAGAAACUUUACUUUAAAAACUUAAUCUGAAUCAGUUAGACACACUGUAAUCUGCACAGUAGUCUGUGAGGGUGGAGCUGGGAAGAAUCAAGCUUCUUCCACUGGAUUUCCAGCAAUGGGGAGAAGUUACAGUACAGUGUGCGGAGCUGCAGAUGCCUCAGUGUGUGCUGUAAUGUGGUCUAGCCAUGCCAGCGUGCUGAGAAAAUAUGUGACUUUUCAUCUCAGAGAUGGAGGGAGAUGCAAAGCAGCUGCUAGUCUGCCCAGCAGCUUGAGGGAAGAGGGUGUCUGCGUUUGCCAAGUUACAAACCAGUGACUCGAAGAAGUUGUUAUUAUGGUCCUCUGCCCUGUGUGGAUGGAAGGAUUUGGGACUGAGAGGCUGAGAACGAGCAUUGAGUUUUGACCCUGGUCAGACGCAAUGAGUUUCAUUUGACCUUCUUUAAGAAAAUGUGAUUAGACUGUAAUGAGUGUGGGAGUCUUCUGUAUAAGUGCAGCUGAGACAGUACUCCUAUGUGUGUAACUGUAUUUAUGUCAAAGGUCUUACUUUCCUUAUUUCCACUGAGGAAGUUUUCUGUCCCGUUUUAUUGUUGGAUGGAUAUCUCAAAAACUACCACUAAUUAAAAACAAUAAAAAACAGUUUUUAAUACAAGCUGGUGGAAAGUUAAAGGAAUACAGUGGUUCUGUGAAAUACAUGUUUUUACUUUCUUGCUGAGAGGUUGAUGUAAGUCUUAUCAUCGUCCAUGAGUUUGCUGAGUAACCAGCGAGAUUCCAGGAAGUCACUGCUCCCAGCCAAGAAAUAGUCAGACAUGUAACCCCCUGUGUAAACACAGCUUGUUGUUUUUGGACAGAUUAAACAAUUCAUGUUGUCAUGUU